GGAGGGCGGUCAUAGUCCGUCCGUGUAGGGAGCGCAGCCCCCGGUCUGGAGACUGGCGGUCCAAGAUCAGGGUGCCAGCAUGGUUGGAUUCUAGUGCAGACUCCCUCCUGACUUGAAGACUAUACCUUCUCAUUGUGUCUUCACAUGGCAGAAAGAGAGAAAGAGAGCUCUCUCUGCCUCUUCCUGUAAGACCAUAGUCUUAUUGGAUUAGAGGCCCAUUCUUAUGACCUCAUUUAAGCUUUAUUAUCUCCUGAAGGCCCCAUCUCCAGAUAUAGUCACACUGGGGCUUAAGACUUCAACAUACCAAUUUUGGGAGAUAUGAUUCAGUCUAUCACGUCGAUCACAUUCAGUCUAACAUCACAAUAAAAGGCCCUGUGAUGCUUUGGCAUACCCUGGUGACUCAGGGAUGGCCAACUAGAAAUAUAACAGGUACCCAAAUGCCAUUCUCACUGAGAAGUCUGGAAACAUAUUUCUGAGAAAAGCAGAAGAGAGAGAGUUUAGCCAAGGUGGGAAGCUACUACAUGUGGUGAGGCCAUGUGUGGCAAGCAUGCGUCUAACUAGCCAUGGACACAUGAAGUCCUUCAGUGCUUAACAAUGCUGAGUCAUAUAUUAGAUUAUGUUCCAGAAUCCUACACCCACAGCAUGUGAGGCAGAUAAGCUGUACUUACCCAAGAAAUGUAAACACCACAAUAGUCCUUGGUUGUCAAUCUGGUAGGGUCACGAAGACCUGCCUGGUAUCAGUGUUUUUUAAAGCAACAGCUGAAAAAGUGACACCUAACUAGUCAAAGAACAGAGUUACAAGAGACAUGCUGAUUCAACGAAUGGAGAUGAGUAAACUGAAUUGCAGAGAGCUUAGAUGACUUGAAAGAGACUUGACAGCUGAGCAGGGAGACCAUCUGUAGCCACCUCCCUGUCACAAGGAAGCCUGCACAUAGAGACCUCCCAUAGAGACGAAAUAUAUCUACAAAAGGGUCACUGCCCUUGCAAGGAAAAUGCGAUCCCAGCACGGCCUGGCGUGUUCCUGGCGGCAGAAAGGACUCCUGCCAGGACAGGAGGAGAAGUUGCCGCUGAGACGAGGAGACGGCGGGAAGCCCUGCAGAUGCCCCAAGCCCACUGAAGCCACAGGAGGGGAAGGGAGGAGGCUGCUGUGCUUUCUGUGUACCUUGUUCUCUGCCCAGAAGGGUCAGCACAGCCAGGCAGCCCCGAAACCCAGUGGAGGCUAAAGAAAGGAGGGCCCUCUCUCCUAGAGAAGGCUCAGUAGGCUCCCGAGGAAAGGGAAGGAGCAACUUUUUCCGUUUGACUUCAAGGAGGAGGGGGAAAGGGUACAGAAUCAAAAUGUAUGGCACUUGCGAUUCAGUUGGCUUAUUUCUGAAAAAAUUGGGGUAGAUUGGGCGCCCAAUGCACCAUAAGCGUUAUGUGUGUUUGUAAACACACACGGGGGUGUACACAGGGGUAGGGGUCUUAGAGAGAAAAGUAAAAAGGGAAAAGAAGGAAAGUAGCAGAGGCUACUUUACACAUAAAAGUACAUAAAUAAGUUUACUUAUGAAGACCAUGGUUUCCCACUAACAGCCCCAUCUUGGUAGCAGAAUGGGACAAACUGUCACA
ensembl:lncRNA LINC00332 long intergenic non-protein coding RNA 332